rnacentral:rRNA from 1 species
AGGUAAGCUACUAAGAGCGAAUGGUGGAUGCCUUGACUGGUAAAGGCGAUGAAGGACGUACUAGACUGCGAUAAGCUACGGGGAGCUGUCAAGAAGCUUUGAUCCGUAGAUUUCCGAAUGGGGCAACCCAAUGUAUAGAGAUAUACAUUACCUAUAUAGGAGCGAACGAGGGGAAUUGAAACAUCUUAGUACCCUCAGGAAAAGAAAUCAAUAGAGAUUGCGUCAGUAGCGGCGAGCGAAAGCGCAAGAGGGCAAACCCAGUGCUUGCACUGGGGGUUGUAGGACUGCAAUAUGCAAGAGGUAAGUUUAGCAGAACAUUCUGGAAAGUAUAACCAUAGAGGGUGAUAGUCCCGUAUGCGAAAAACAAACCUUAGCUAGCAGUAUCCUGAGUAGGGCGGGACACGAGGAAUCCUGUCUGAAUCCGGGUCGACCACGAUCCAACCCUAAAUACUAAUACCAGAUCGAUAGUGCACAAGUACCGUGAGGGAAAGGUGAAAAGAACUGAGGUGAUCAGAGUGAAAUAGAACCUGAAACCAUUUGCUUACAAUCAUUCAGAGCCCUAUGUAGCAAUACAGGGUGAUGGACUGCCUUUUGCAUAAUGAGCCUGCGAGUUGUGGUGUCUGGCAAGGUUAAGCAAACGCGAAGCCGUAGCGAAAGCGAGUCUGAAUAGGGCGCUUAGUCAGAUGCUGCAGACCCGAAACGAAGUGAUCUAUCCAUGAGCAAGUUGAAGCUAGUGUAAGAACUAGUGGAGGACUGAACCCAUAGGCGUUGAAAAGCCCCGGGAUGACUUGUGGAUAGGGGUGAAAGGCCAAUCAAACUUCGUGAUAGCUGGUUCUCUCCGAAAUAUAUUUAGGUAUAGCGUUGUGUCGUAAUAUAAGGGGGUAGAGCACUGAAUGGGCUAGGGCAUACACCAAUGUACCAAACCCUAUCAAACUCCGAAUACCUUAUAUGUAAUCACAGCAGUCAGGCGGCGAGUGAUAAAAUCCGUCGUCAAGAGGGAAACAACCCAGACUACCAGCUAAGGUCCCUAAGUCUUACUUAAGUGGAAAACGAUGUGAAGUUACUUAAACAACCAGGAGGUUGGCUUAGAAGCAGCCAUCCUUUAAAGAAAGCGUAAUAGCUCACUGGUCUAGUGAUUUUGCGCGGAAAAUAUAACGGGGCUAAAGU